CCCCGCGCCGCCGCCCCCAACCCCUAGGCUGAGCCGGAGGGAGGGACCCAGAAGGGAGGGAGGCGGAAGGGAGGCCAAAAAGGAGGGGGCCACGUGAAAGAGGCCGGCCGACCGAGACCGAGGGAGACUGAGCGGAGCGCACGCCCUGGAAGGAGAGAGCCGGAGAGUUCGGGAGGCAAGACCCCCAGAGACGAGAGUCGGAGGGAUCAAACGACACAGGGUCUGACUCUGUCACCUAGGCUGGAGCCCACUGGUGCCCUCUCAGCUCACUGCAACCUCCACCUCCUGCGCUCAAGCAAUCCUCCCACCUCCUGGGCUCAAGCAAUCUUCCCACCUCAACCUCCCUAGUAUCUGGGACUGCAGAUGGAGUCUUGCUCUGUCACCCAGACUGGGUACAGUGGCACGAUCUCGGCUCACUACAAACUCCACCUCCUGGGUUCAAGAGAUUCUCCUACCUCAGCCUCCCGAGUAGCUGGGACUACAGACACAGGGGUUUGCCCUCCUGUCCCUUCUCCUCCAGAGGACACAGCAUUCAAUACUACCUUGGAAGCAGCGACAGCAACCCUCACCAGACACCAAGCCUGCUGGCACCUUGAUCUUGGACAUCCAGCCUCCAGAUCUGUGAGAAGUAAAUUCUGGUUUUUUAAAAAUUACCCAGUCUCAGGUAUUUUUUAAUACACACAUUAAUGGACUAAGACAAGACUCAACACUGUCAAGUUGUCAAUUUGUGCUAAAUUGAUCUAUAGACUUAAUAUGUUCUCAAU
rnacentral:lncRNA from 1 species